UUAGGUUAAAUAUUAGUAAAAAUUAUCUACCUGGGAGAGUAGUAAAACACAGUUUUGUCAUAAGACAGGCCACUAUGUUCUGCAUGAGCUACAGCAUCAAGACAGUUAUCAGGGACAGCCCCUCAAAGCACACUGCAGUAGUUUACCCUCAAGAUUACUAAAGCAUGAAUGAUGGUGGCAAGGGGUGAAACUAAAGGAAAGGGACACACCUUUCUCCCCAGGCAGAGCUGAUGAAAGGCAGUCCUACCCAGCCUCACCAUCUGAACAACCAGGUGCAACAGAGGAUCCAGAAGUAACCCAAGACUGCAAAUCUGAGUGACAAAGGGAGGCUGAUCUCCAUCAGCGACAGGUUUCCUUAUGCCCCCGCCCCAAGUCAUGAGGACUGCCAACCACCAUCACAUCUUUGUCCUCUUCUGGUUCAGCUUCCAUUGCUUUAUCUACGUCCAGUCCUCAGUUGUUGGCAGGCACUAGGUAAGAAUCAAGACUGCUGGGUCUAGGUGAUGUGAAAAAGACGACAGUGAGAGUGGAUGUCGUCAGUACUUGAGAUUUCAGUACAAUCUCAUCCAAUGGCCUCAGCUACACAAAUAGGAGAUAAGAUGGAACCCUGGAAAACUCACAGGAAAGGCUGAGGCCAGGGUGAGCACUCAGCCAUCACCACACUCUGGAACCAUCCUGCUAGGAAGGAGUGGAGCCAGUUAAGAGUGGUCCCACAAAUACUCACCCGGUCCUAUAAGCAUGCUAUCAGCAUCUCAUGGUCAACUGCAAAGAGUGCUGAAAACUCUAGGAAGAUCAACACUACAAUUUCUGACAUUGAUCUGGAGAUUGUUUACCAAGGCAACAAGCAAUUUAAUCCAGUUGGUAUAAAUAGGACAAGACCAGGCUUCUCCACCCCCAACUCUGAUUCUGCAACUGUACUGGAGGUUCCCAAGUCUUGCCAAAUAUGGGUGAUUCUGCCUAGAAAAAUGGUAGCAGUCUGCUGCUGGAAACUGAUGCAUACAUCAUAUGCAAGGAAAUAGUGUAACAGUUUCUUUAGGGCAGGAGCAAAAGUAGUGCCCCCAUGCUGCAAGUGGGGCUCCCUGGCUGCUGUCUGUGGACACUUCCCUUUCCACCCAUUCAUCCCAUCCUGCAGAGGCUCCCAGUGCAGAAGCAGGGAAAGAUCUUUUUUUCUUCAUUCUGCCUUUCAAAAUGAGCUGCGUAUCGUAUUUAGGAGCAUGCUGUAUGUGAGAAAAUACUGUUAACCAUCAACCUUGAAUUAAAUAGGAAUAUAUCAGGCUCUCCACCUGUUGUGACAGAACAGGGAAACAUCAAGUGCCUCCAAAGACAUUUUCUUACCCCUCCCACCAUCCAACCCAGCCUCAUUUCCCAACUUCCCAGCCCUCAUUCACUUCCUGGCUUCAAAACAGCAAUGUCCUUCCCCUACUCCCUCCCAUCCACUCCCACACUGCCCUUACCCAGGGGAGUCCUGUCUUAUAACAUUCCUUCCAAGCCUCUUUUCCCACUGGGGGCAGCCUAGCUGUGGCCAUCCCCAAAUCCCACUCAAUCUCCUGUUCUCUCCCAACAGUCAUACUAUUCAAUUUAAAAUGAUUAUAACAAAAAAUGCUAGAAGCUUGUCUGUCCCUGCUAUCCUACAGGCUCCUGCUCUGGAUGCCGACCCCAGGAAGGCCAAGUUCUAUGCUCCUAGUCUCCAGCAGAAGAGAGGAUUUUCAAGAUGCAUCUUCAGAAGGCAUAGGGGAGCCCCCGAUGCACUUGUUUCCUGUAGCAAUACUAGUUUGCCCAAAGACAAAGCCAGGUCACCUGAAUACACUUGACAGGUGACUCCUCCUUUCUCUGCUCCUCCCCAUACCACGUGCUUCCAUGGAUAUGGUACAAUCAAAUGUCUACAUUAUGAGAAGUAGCCGGCAUACAAAAACUACAGACAAAACAUAUGCACCCAAACCUGAGUUAGCUUUACCCAGUCAGUGACAACUUUAGCCUUGCACAUGGGUGAGGGCACACCAGUUUCAAAUGUACUCAGAAUACUUUACCCAAAACCCCAGCUUGUUUUAGCUGAUUGGUCCACUACUGCUUUGCCACUUUGUUGAGCUAGGCAUAUGGAUCACCUCUGACCUGGACUGCUCCAUAUUCACAGUGACAGGGUGUGAUGUAGAAGAUGAUAAAUUAAAUGCUUUUUGGUCCA